GGGGAAUGGAGGGGGGGAAGAGGAAUCCUCGCAAAAGACAGGCAGCACUGUCCCCAGGCUGCACGGGAGCUGUCCACUGCAGGGGCAGCGCUGUCCCCAGGCUGCACAGGCGCUGUCCACUGCAGGGGCAGCACUGUCCCCAGGCUGCAUGGGAGCUGUCCACUGCAGGAGCAGUGCAGUUCAGCAGAGACGGCGGAGCGUGGGCAUCAGGCACACUACAGCCUGCCUGCUCUUAAGAACACUGGAAAGCACUUCAGCACUACGCUUGGGGCCACUUAAAAUAGCGAAAUCACCAACAAAAAUGUGAAAAGCGUGGCACUAAACAGACCAUGAAAAGCACACUUGUUCAGUGUGAGCUGAAACAAGAAGGCAGAGCAUCGUGUGCUGGACUUCAGCCACACACGUGUGCACAGGAGGACUCAAAAUUUUCAGUGCUCUGCACAUGACUGAAAAGGACCGUGAAAGCGAGGUUGAGUCUUCAUUGGGAGUUAAAAUAAAUUUGAUGGAGUAGGCAAACCCGC
rnacentral:lncRNA from 1 species